rnacentral:lncRNA from 1 species
GUUAUUUGUUCAGGUCGGUAUGUUCUGGCUGGUUUGUACCGGGUGCUGUUUAUCACCCAUGCUUUGUGUAAACCGUUCUUUUUGCACUUGUAAAUGGUUUACUUUGUGCUGUCGCGUAAAUUGCGUUGUUUCACUCAUCUCUGCUCUCCUGCGCCUGACUUUAUACACCAGCUACACCCACCAACCUGACAGGGAUCAGGCGGCACAUGCAAUCAAUGAUCACUUUCGCUACAACAGAACAGAAAUGUCUGCCAGGCUACGGGUCCUAUUGGAGGGCUCUGAUAUCCGUAAGCUAACAUUGCCUUCUGGAAUCCCUGCUACUGUGGCUGUGCUUGGCACAAUUGUGCAAGAGACAUUUCGGCUUAAAAAAUAAUUUGUUCUACAGUAGGUGGACAGUGAAUUUGGAGAUCAGUAAUUUUAUUUGCUUGAUACUGAAGACCUAAAGGAUAAAGACACCAUCAAAGUGGUUGACCUUGACGGCCCACCUCUUAUUACUUUACAUGUACAAGAACUCAAUAACAGCUCCAUCGGAUGAGGGGCUCCCUUGGAUCACGUGACACUGUGAUAUUGUCCUCUCCAGAAAGUACCUCUUCCCAACGCUCCAGUCCAUGGCCAUCUGAGUUUGAAGUUCCUCGCUUUGCUUAUGAUACAGAGCUCAUUCUUGAGGCAACUAAUGAAGCACACAUGAAGGAUGGAACACUACUCAACAAUCUGCCUGUGAAAUCAGACAUCCUGGAAAAACAACUGUCUGAAAGGAUCUUCCAGUUUACAGCCUAUCCGUCAAGUCUACAAAUUUGGUAGGUUGCAGAAGUUUGAUAAAAAAGUACCCAUGUCUUAAGAGCCUGGAUCCUUCUCAGGCCUGUACGGAUGGCAAACCAGUCUGAAGUACAAGAUGGGCAAUUACAGAUCGAAACUGAGAGGAAUUGGUUGCCCAGAACUGGAAGUGAACUCUGUCAAGAGAAUAUCACCAUAGGACUGGCCCGUUGCCAAGAACAUAAAAAAAACUAAGAAGGUGGAGGUGAAUUACCCCCCACCCUGCUGGAGAAACAGAUGAGACCCUGGAGAGGGAGCGAGUGGAGCUACUGGGAGAAGUACAAAUACGUGACAACCACAACAUUGUGAGUGCCAAAAUGGCGAAGACAAGAUGUCGUUCAGGCCUUUCCUGUGAAGGACUUCAAAGAUAGAUGGCCAGCCCUGUUUGAGCCCACUCAGAUUAAGGAAAUUCAGAAGAAUUACAACUGUUGCUCUUGAGUCCACCUUUCUGCAGAAGCUGGAUGAAUUUACACCAAAACUAUUGGACUUGUUUAAGUCAAAAGGAGGUGCUGUAAAGACAGACAUGCAGAAAAUACUUGAAGUUCUGCACGGGUGCAACACCAUCCAGGAAAGAAGAGACAGUGUGACCCGUGGCCUGAUCAUAUACCUCGGCGAGAGGGUUGAAGAUUACAGAAUACAAGUCUGUUAUUUCUUCUUUUUUUUUUUACUCCGGAUGCUGACGACACCAUGAUCCGAGAGGACCUCGUUCAGCAUGUGAUGAAUAUGUUCACUAUGAAGCAUCUGCACCAGAAUAUAGAGCAUGGGAUCUGCAUCGAAGGAGCAGAGGUCCUGGCUGGUAUUCCCAGUGUUACACAGGCAUGUACCUUGCUUAUGGGCCUCCUCUAUGGCAUAAAUCUAAGGUACCCUAAAGAACUGAAAUAUACCUUUGAGGUGUUCCAAAAAGUAUUCUUGGAACUUGAUGAUCUCAGGACCUCCCGACAGGUCCAUGCUCUAAAGAUGAAGUUACUUGUUUUCAGAGAUAUCUAAAGAUAUCUAUGAGAACUGUCAAAGGGCCACUCACAAACUGUGGUCUAAACCCUACUCAGUAAGCUGAAAAGCUAGUUGCUAGGUGGUAUAGGAGCUACAGUUUACAUUGUGCUCUUUGUCAGGUAAAGUCAUAAGAGACAUUGCCAAAUCCUGUUUUAAAAAAACAGCUUUGUUUUAAAACUUAGGCCAUAUGCACUAGUGGAUAUCUGAGAUUAUUUGUCAGGUGCAAGCUAUCUGGAUGUAACUUUACCUAAGGAGGCAAGGUGGAGUUAUACCCAGAAUGCUUAUACCUGUCAAAAUAAUAUGUCCAUAUGGGCUUCACUAGUGCAUAUGGAGUCAGGUUUAAGGGAGAAUUUAGCAUAUAUUUUGUAACAAUAUGUGUAAUGUAUGUUUUGAAAACCCAUGUUUUGAUUAAUCUGAAACAGUUUGAAUGAGGUUGUAUUUGAGCUAAAGUUCAUAUUGUGCUUUGUGUAAAGUCUAUUAAGAUAAAUCGUUCAUUUACAUUUCUGUUAAAAUAUUGUUUUGUUGUUAAGGGGCACACAGACCACCAGAGAAUUCUUGCCAGACUGCACAAGAUGUGAGGUCAAAGUGCCAAUCCCAAACUAUCACCUAAACCUUAUGCAUUUGUGAAGAUCUAAAAGUAUUUGUAGUCAGGUGCAGCUAUCUGGAUGUAACUUUACCUAAGGAGGCAAGGUGGAAUUAUACCCAGAAUGAUUACAGAUUACAAAAUAUGAUUGCCUAAAGAGUAGGGUUUAAGGGGCAAUUUGAGAUUGAUGUUUGAAGAAAUUAUAAAAUUAUAACAUUUAUUUUAUUCAAAAUAAAGGUGUG